CGGGGCCGUCCGGGCUGGGCGCCGCCGCUCCCCCGUGGGCCGGGGCGGCGCCGGGCGUCCUAAGGGCGGGGGGAAGCUGUCGAGAGAUGGCUGGGCAGAGUGCGGUGUGUGGGCUGCUCCUAAGGAGUGUGGAUUGGCAGCAUUUAUGUACAGGUCUCAGCACAGUUUGCCCAGGGAGAUAACCUGCAUAAUAGCAGAUCAGCAUUCUCCUAGCUAUGGUUGGAUGGCAGCCUGUGGCCUCACUGCAGAUGAGGGUCAGUAUAACAUGUCCUGAUUUAUCAUUUAUUAUUAUUAUUAUUUUCCUGUUAUAAACUCUUCUGUACUGUAGUUUGACUCCACAGUUUUGCUUGAAAAUAACAGCUGCUUGUGCAUCAGCAUUGCUGGAAAUCUGCUCUCCAAUGGCAGGCAGUGUUAUUGAUUUAGGGUUUGGUGUUUAAAGUUCUGCCCGUGCUGGCAGAGCUGUUUGCACAAGCACUGCAGGGCUGGGUUCCCACUGUGUACCAGGCAGCGUUUUCCAUCCUCCCACUAGAAGUGCUUCUUGUGGUGGUUGUGUGGGGACUGCAGGUUGGUGUGAGCCAGAUGCAAGCAUUAUAGAACAGUCUCUUUAAAUAUGCCAUGAAUGAGAGAGAUUUCCAUCACCUUUAGUACAGGAUGCUGGGACACUGACUGUGACACACUCACUGUUUGCUCACUCCUUGAGUUCCAGCAGUAGGAAUGUCAGCUCACGCGUGCCUCCUGCACCAAAAAGCAGCUCAGUGCACUGCUGCUAUGUCAAACUUCUCAUGCUGUGUGUUUUGUUAAAUCCUUUUCCUUCAGUAUUAGCGUGCAGUGGCAUUAUAACAGAACUAAUCAAUUAUGGGACUUUGCUUGCUGACUUCUGUUGAGAGAUGCAGAACGAAGAUGCAAUGUUUAUUUAAAUAUCACCAGCAAUUUCAAGUGGAUUAAAGGAUGUAGGUGUGUGGGGGAGCUAUGUUGUUUACAAAUGGUUGUCUGCCUCAAGCCCUGAGAAGGCAAACUUUGGUGUGGCCAAAUUAAUUAGUAAAAUAAAUAUGUAAGUGAAAAUCUGAGGAAUAAACA
rnacentral:lncRNA from 1 species